AAAGUGUCCAACAAAGCAAUGCACUUCAAACUGGAAAAGUAAUUGAUUGCAAUGGUGAAGAAAGCCUGCAAAUACCAAUAAACUGGGAGCCAGAGUGGGAGAGCAGAAGAAAUGAAGCAAAGGAAAGAUGCCACACCCAGCAUACUGUAACCAUGACUCAGUCUUGUGUUCAUCCUAUACAGCAAAGCUAUGGGCCGAAUUUUUCAAGGAUUCUCUCCCCCAUCCACUGGGGUGGGGGAGGGUGAGCAACACCCUGUGUGGUGCUCAGUUGCUGACUGGGGCUAAACCAUGACAAUAAGCUAUCUUCACAUGACUGGCCCAGGGGGUGUUUCCCAGCUGUUGGCUUUCUGUGCUACCUGAAUUCAGAGUGAGACCAAGGAUGCUGAAAACUUCUUUUGCCAAAUACCAUAGAUUCACAGAAUCACAGAAUCACAGGUUGGAAGGGACCUCAGGGAUCAUCUAGUCCAACCUUUCUGGGAAGAGCAGAGUCUAAACAAGAUGGCCCAGCAUCCUGUCCAGACGACUCAAAGGUGUCCAACGUGGCCAAGUCAACCACUUCCCUGGGGAGAUUAUUCCAAUGGGUGACUGUCCUCGAUGUGAAAAAUUUCCCUCUGAUGUCCAAUCAGAAUCUCCCCAAGAGCAAUUUGUGUCCAUUCCCCUUGUUCUCUCUAUAGGACUCCUUGUGAAAAGGGAGUCUCCAUCUUCUUUGUAGCUGCCUCUUAAAUACUGGUACAUGGUGAUGAGAUCUCCUCUGAGCCUCCUUUC